rnacentral:rRNA from 1 species
UACAGGGGGGGCAAGCGUUGUUCGGAAUUACUGGGCGUAAAGGGCCAGUAGGCGGCCAACUAAGUCCGACGUGAAAUCCCCAGCUUAACCUGGGAACUGCGUCGAUACUGGAUGGCUUGAAUUCGGGAGAGGGAUGCAGAAUUCCAGGUGUAGCGGUGAAAUGCGUAGAUAUCUGGAGGAAUACCGGUGGCGAAGGCGGCAUCCUGGACCGACAUUGACGCUGAACGGCGAAAGCUAAGGGGAG